rnacentral:tRNA from 2 species
GGAGAGGUGGCCGAGUGGCUGAAGGCGCUCCCCUGCUAAGGGAGUAUGGGGCCUAAAACCUCAUCGAGGGUUCGAAUCCCUCCCUCUCCGCCA